UUGCGACGUUCACUAUGGGCACCACCCUGCAGAGAGCUUCUCGCCGGUCUUCCUCAAUCCAUUCCGUCACACUCAACAGAGCAUGACGUGCCUCCCUACUUCAAGACAGAGCCAGUGCGUAGCCAGCUCCAUCUGGAACGUAACAGGCUGGUGCUGACCUGCAUGGCGGAGGGAAGCUGGCCACUAGAGUUUAAAUGGAUCCACAAUAGCACAGAAUUAACACGCUUUUCACUGGAGUACAGGUACCUAAUCCCUUCACUGGACCGCUCCCAUGCUGGCUUUUACCGCUGCAUUGUGAGAAAUCGGGUGGGAGCCCUUCUGCAGAGGCGCACAGAAGUACAAGUGGCCUUUAUGGGCAGUUUUGAGGAAGGCGAACGCACCCAGUCAGUCUCUCAGGGAGAGGGUGCUGUGAUUCCAGCGCCACGCAUCCGCAGCUUCCCUCAGCCACAAGUCACCUGGUUCAGAGAUGGGCGCAAGAUUCCACCCAGCAGCCGCAUUGCCAUUACUUUGGACAACACGCUGGUUAUCUUGUCUACUGUGGCACCGGAUGCCGGACGCUACUAUGUGCAAGCUGUAAAUGACAAGAAUGGAGAGAACAAGACCAGCCAGCCCAUCACCUUGUCAGUAGAGAAUGUUGGCGGUCCAGCAGAUCCCAUUGCCCCCACCAUUAUCAUCCCUCCCAGGAACACCAGUGUGGUCACAGGCACAUCAGAGGUCACGAUGGAGUGUGUGGCCAAUGCCAGACCUCUUAUCAAGCUGAGUAUCUCAUGGCGUAAGAACGGCGUGUUGGUGAACAGCGGUUUGAGUGACUUCAACCGCAGACUGACCAUCCUGAGUCCUGUGGUGAGCGACGCCGGCUACUACGAGUGUGAGGCCAUUCUCCGCAGCAGCAGCGUGCCUUCAGUCAGUGCUGGGGCUUAUCUGCAUGUCCUUGAGCCACCACAGUUUAUAAAGGAACCGGAGAAACACAUCACAGCUGAGAUGGAGAAGGUGGUUGACAUUCCCUGUCAGGCACGGGGAGUGCCCCAGCCAGACAUUGUGUGGUACAAGGAUGCUUUGCCUAUCGACCCAGUGAGGACACCCAGGUACAGGGUGUUGGUGGGCGGCAGCCUCCAGGUCAACGGCCUACUGCCUGAUGACACCGGCAUGUUCCAGUGCUUUGCCCGAAAUUCAGCCGGAGAAGUUCAGACCAACACUUACCUGGCUGUUACAAGCAUUGCCCCGAAUAUCACAGCCGGACCCUCUGAUAGCACUGUGAUCGACGGGAUGUCAGUCAUUCUGCACUGUGAGACCUCUGGAGCUCCAAGGCCAGCUAUCACCUGGCAAAAAGGUGAGCGCGUGUUAGCCAGCGGUUCAGUCCAGCUGCCCCGGUUCACCCUGCUUGAAUCGGGCAGCUUGCUCAUCUCGCCUUCACACAUCUCUGAUGCCGGGACCUACACUUGCAUGGCAAGCAACUCCAGGGGCAUUGACGAGGCAUCUGCUGACCUUGUUGUUUGGGCUCGCACUCGGAUUACCACCCCCCCACAGGACCAGAGCGUUAUCAAAGGAACUAAAGCCAUUAUGAACUGUGGAGUCACACACGACCCAAGUGUGACAGUCAGGCAUGUCUGGGAAAAAGAGGGCUCAGUCAUAAACGUUCAGUCCAUCCCCCGCAUGCGGCUAGAUGCAGAUGGUACGCUUCACAUCUCCCAAACCUGGUCAGGUGACAUAGGCACCUACACAUGCCGAGUGACCUCUGUUGGAGGCAACGACUCCCGCAGCGCGCACCUCCGUGUCAGACAGUUGCCCCAUGCCCCAGAGAACCCUACGGCCGUGCUGAGCAAAUCUGAAAAAAGAGCCAUCGACCUGGCUUGGGCCAAGCCUUUUGAUGGCAACAGUCCCCUCAUACGCUAUAUCCUGGAGGUUUCUGAGAACAAUGCUCCCUGGGCCAUCCUGCUGGCCAAUAUUGAACCUGAGUCCACAGCAGUGACGGUCAACGGCUUGAUCCCAGCUCGCUCCUAUCAGUUCCGCCUCUGUGCUGUUAAUGAUGUGGGGAAGGGACAGUUUAGCAAGGAGACAGACCGGGUCUCUCUCCCAGAGGAGCCCCCCAGUGCUCCUCCUCAAAAUGUCAUUGCUAGUGGUCGAACCAACCAAUCUAUCAUGAUCCAGUGGCAGCCUCCGCCGGAAAGCCACCAGAACGGCAUCCUCAGAGGCUACAUCGUUCGGUACCGUCUCACUGGGCUGCCUGUGGACAACCAAAUCAAGAACAUUUCCAGCCCGGAUGUGACCACGCUGCUGCUGGAAGACCUCAUCAUCUGGACCAAUUAUGAGAUUGAGGUGGCUGCCUAUAAUGGGGCAGGUUUGGGCACUUUCAGCCAUAAGGUUACUGAGUGGACCCUGCAAGGAGUGCCCACCAUAGCUCCAGGCAACGUGCAGGCCGAGGCGGUCAACUCAACAACUAUCCGUUUUACGUGGACAGCCCCUAACCCCCAGUUCAUCAACGGCAUUAACCAGGGCUACAAGUUGCUGGCCUGGGAACCUGGCAAGGAUGACGAAGUUGCCAUGGUAACAGUACGACCGAACUUCCAGGACAGCGUCCAUGUGGGAUAUGUGACAGGUCUGAAGAAGUUCACUGAGUAUUACACCUCUGUGCUGUGCUUCACGACACCCGGAGACGGCCCCCGCAGCCCGCCUAAAGCAUUGAGGACGCAUGAGGACACCCCCGGUGCAGUGGGUCAUCUGAGUUUCACCGAGAUUUUGGACACCUCACUCAAAGUCAGCUGGAGUGAGCCCAGCGAGAAGAAUGGAGUUCUCACAGGUUACCGCAUUUCUUGGGAGGAGUACAACCGAACAAACACCAGAGUCACCCACUACCUGCCCAAUGUCACCUUAGAGUACAGGGUCACUGGGCUCACUGCUCUCACCACCUACACUAUUGAAGUGGCAGGAAUGACCUCCAAGGGCCAGGGCAUGCUGUCCUCCUCCACCAUUUCCUCCGGUGUCCCACCAGAGCUUCCUGGCCCUCCUACCAACAUGGCAAUUUCCAAUAUUGGCCCACGCUCCAUCAAUCUGCAGUUCAAACCUGGCUAUGAUGGCAAAACUUCUAUUUCCCGCUGGCUAGUGGAGGCCCAGGUGGGUGCGGUAGGAGAAAAUGAGGAUUGGUUGAUGGUCCACCAGGUGUUCAACGAACCUGAGGCUCGCUCCUUAGAGGUGCCAGGUCUCAACCCAUAUACCUUUUACAGGUUUCGCAUGCGUCAGGUGAACAUAGUGGGUACCAGUCCUCCCAGCCAGCCCUCCAGAAAAAUUCAGACCCUACCAGCUCCUCCCGACAUGGCCCCUGCCAACGUCACCCUGCGCACCGCUAGCGAAACAAGCCUCUGGUUACGAUGGAUGCCUUUGCCUGAAUGGGAAUAUAAUGGGAAUGCAGAGCAGGUGGGCUACAGGGUUCAGUACUCCCGUGCAGGCUCACAGGGCCAUCCACUCACCCAUGUUAUUACCGACCGUCUGGAGAGAGAGUUUACUAUUGAGGACCUGGAGGAGUGGACAGAAUAUGAGGUCAGGGUCCAGGCUGUCAACGGCAUUGGAGUGGGACCCUGGAGCCAACCGGUCAGAGGCAGGACACGGGAGUCUGUUCCCUCCAGUGGUCCCACCAACGUGUCUGCCUUUGCCACUACUUCAAGCAGCAUCCUGGUGCGCUGGUUUGAAGUCCCAGAGCCGGACAGGAAUGGGCUCAUUCUGGGCUACAAGGUGGUGUAUAAAGAAAAAGACUCGGACAGUCCAGUCCACUUCUGGACAGUAGAGGGAAAUGCCACUCACAGUGUCCAGCUGACUGGUCUGGGGAAAUAUGUGCUCUAUGAGAUCCAAGUUCUGGCAUUCACACGGAUUGGAGAUGGACGGCCGAGCUCUCCACCUAUUCUUGAAAGGACCUUGGAUGAUGUCCCAGGACCUCCAGUGGGUAUCCUGUUCCCUGAAGUCCGAACCACCUCAGUCCGCCUUAUUUGGCAGUCCCCUGCCCAGCCGAAUGGCAUUAUACUUGCCUACCAGAUCACGUACCACCUCAACUCCACCAAUAGCAACACAGCCACAGUGGAUGUGCUGAACCCCAGCGCCCGCCAGUACACGGUGACUAACCUCAAGCCAGAAACUGUCUAUGUGUUUCGCAUCACGGCACAGACAAGGAAAGGCUGGGGUGAGGCGGCCGAGGCACUCGUGGUUACCACGGAGAAAAGAGCUCGUCCUCAGCCUACCAGCCGCCCCCUGGUUCCUCAAAAACACGUUCAGGCUCGCCAGGUGUUACUUUCAUGGGAGCCUGGUAGUGACGGCCUGUCCCCCGUGCGUUACUAUACGGUCCAGCUAAGAGAGCUUCCUGAAAGCAACUGGACAGUCCACUCAGCAUCUGUCAGCCACGAGGCCACAACCUACAUAGUAUCCAGGCUGAAACCCUUCACAUCUUACCAGUUCAGAAUAAAAGCCACCAAUGACAUAGGGGACAGCGAGUACAGUCAGGAAAGUGAAGCAAUCACAACUCUACAGGAUGUGCCUGACGAAGCACCCUCGAUUCUCUCUGUCACGCCACACACAACAACGUCAGUGCUGAUCCGCUGGCAGCCCCCCUCAGAGGAGAAGAUAAAUGGUAUCUUACUGGGCUUUCGCAUUCGAUACCGCGAGCUGCUGUACGACCGUCUCCGCAGUUAUAUUCACACAGUCAACAGUGCAUCCGCCUGGGCUGAGCUCUCUGCUCCCUACAGCCUGCGAAAUCUGAGUGAUUCAACGCUCACCCAGUAUGAGUUAGACAAGCUAAGUAAACACAAGCGUUAUGAGAUACGCAUGAGUGUGUACAACGCCGUGGGUGAGGGGCCAACCAGCCCUCCACAGGAGGUGUUUGUUGGAGAAGCAGUGCCGACGGCCCCACCCCAGAAUGUGGCUAUUCAGUCCGCAACAGCCACCCAGCUGGAUGUGACGUGGGACCCUCCACCUGUGGAUGCGCAGAAUGGAGACAUCCAGGGAUACAAGAUUUACUUUUGGGAAUUCCAGCGUAAGAACGAGACUGAGCGGAUGCGGACUCUGUUUAUGCCUGAAGGAGGGGUGAAGCUGAAGAACUUGACUGGUUACACCACCUAUAUGAUCAGUGUGGCUCCAUUCAACGCUGCUGGGGACGGACCCCGAAGCCCACCAACGAGGGGACGCACUCAGCAAGCAGCUCCCAGUGCUCCCAGCUUCAUUCACUUCAGUGAACUGACCACCACCUCUGUCAAUGUGUCCUGGGGCGAGCCCACCUUCCCUAAUGGCAUCAUUGAGGGCUACCGUCUGGUCUAUGAACCCUCCACACCUGUAGAUGGCGUCAGUAAGACAGUGACGGUGGAUGUGAAGGGGACCGGCCCUCUCUGGUUGAAGAUCAGAGACCUGGCAGAUGGCGUCACGUACAACUUCCGCAUCCGGGCCAAGACCUUCAUCUACGGGCCUGAGGUGGAAGCAAAUAUCACCACGGGACCAGGGGAAGGUGCCCCAGGGCCCCCUGGAGAGCCAUUUAUUACGCGCUACAGUUCGGGCCUCACCAUUCACUGGACCCCUGGAGACCCAGGACGUUCUCCCAUAACACGCUAUGUAAUUGAGGCCAGACCCUCAGAUGAGGGUUUGUGGGAUAUCUUAAUCAAGGACAUCUCCAAGGAUGCAACAUCGCACACAUUCAACAUGGACAUCCUGAAACAAGGUGUCAGUUAUGACUUUCGGGUCAUUGGAGUGAACGACUAUGGCUAUGGCUCUCCGAGUCUACCUUCUCCCUCCAUAUCUGCCCAAAAAGUGGCUCCUUUCUAUGAGGAAUGGUGGUUCCUGGUCGUGGUGGCUCUAGUGGGACUCAUCUUCAUUCUGCUGCUAGUUUUCAUCCUCAUUAUCAGAGGACAGAGCAAGAAGUAUGCAAAAAAGUCUGAAUCAGGUAACAACUCCAACUGUAACGCUCUCACCCACGGAGAUAUGGUCAGCCUGGACGAAGGACGUUUCCCAGCUCUGGAACUUAACAAUCGACGGCUGUCUGUAAAAAACUCUUUCUGCAGGAAGAACGGCGUCUACACCAGGUCUCCUCCCAGGCCCAGCCCAGGCAGUCUUCACUACUCGGACGAGGACGUCAGCACCAAGUACAACGACCUGAUCCCUGCAGAGAGCAGCAGCCUGACUGAAAAACCCUCGGAAAUCUCAGACUCACAGGGCAGCGACAGUGAGUAUGAGGUGGACCCUAACCGUCAGAAGACCCACUCCUUCGUCAACCACUACAUAAGUGACCCUACCUACUACAACUCCUGGCGGCGCCAACAGAAAGGCAUAUCCCGGGCGCAGGCCUACAGCUACACAGAGUCAGAGUCAGGAGAGCCGGAUCACUGCGGCCAGCCCCAGGGCCAAGGCAGCCUCUUUAGACCCAAAGGUAGCCGGACUCCCACCCCCUCCCAGCAGAGCUCCAACCCUCCGAGCCAGCACAGCACCUUGUACAGGCCCCCCAGCAGUCUAGCCCCUGGCUCACGGGCCCCUAUUGCUGGCUUUUCCUCUUUUGUGUGA
ensembl:lncRNA